rnacentral:rRNA from 1 species
GACGAACGCUGGCGGCGUGCUUAACACAUGCAAGUCGAACGAUGAACCCGGAGCUUGCUCCGGUGGAUUAGUGGCGAACGGGUGAGUAACACGUGAGUAACCUGCCCUUGACUCUGGGAUAACUGCGGGAAACCGUAGCUAAUACCGGAUACGACCCUCGGCGGCAUCGCCAGGGGGUGGAAAGGAUUUCGGUCAAGGAUGGACUCGCGGCCUAUCAGCUAGUUGGUGAGGUAACGGCUCACCAAGGCGACGACGGGUAGCCGGCCUGAGAGGGUGACCGGCCACACUGGGACUGAGACACGGCCCAGACUCCUACGGAAGGCAGCAGUGGGGAAUAUUGCACAAUGGGCGCAAGCCUGAUGCAGCGACGCCGCGUGAGGGAUGACGGCCUUCGGGUUGUAAACCUCUUUCAGCACCGACGAAGCGCAAGUGACGGUAGGUGCAGAAGAAGGACCGGCCAACUACGUGCCAGCAGCCGCAGUAA